ACCCAACGGAGCACGACCGAACGGGGCUGUCAUCGACCGGUCUCCGCCGCAUCAGACGAACUUCUCUCCCUCGUCGCCUUCCCUUCUCCUACUCCGUCUGCUACUGAACGUUUUUGCCGGAGGACAUGACAUGAGACGGCUUCCUCCUCUCGCUUCCAGGGCUUCGACUGCACUCACGACCCUCUCCGACGAAGCUUUUGCUCACAAGAAGCUCCUCCCAGAUAACCCCUCGAAGCCCCAACCCAAAUCGCCCGUUCGCCAGGGAGAUAUCAGCCGAGCACGAGAAGCGCCGGGCGGAGGUAAGCCUCCGCACUACUCGGGCCCCAGCGAUACCUUUCCCAGGGAAAACCGCAAUUCACGUGACCAGCAAAUCGAUCGCCAUUACAUUUCUCGAGUCCUUUCGAGGAAGGACUGGUUCUUGCUGCUUACCCACGAGCACAGAGCGAAGAGGGCGGCGGUUCUGAGCGCUCAGUCCGUGGCGAGCGUUUUGCAGAAUCAGGAAAACCCGGUGCACCCUUUGAAGUUUUACAUCUGGGUAUCGAGUUUUAGCCCCGGGAUUGCCAAGAAUCGAUCGGUUAGAGCUGUUUUGGCCAAUGCGCUGCAUAGGAAGGGCCCUGUUGUAUUGUCGGCUGAGCUGAUUCAGGAUGUUAGGAGUUCUGGCGGCCGGUUCACGGAGGAUUUGCUUUGUGUGUUGAUUGGCAGCUGGGGCAGGUUAGGAUUGGCUAAGUACUGCGAUGAAGUUUUUGGGCAGAUUUCCUUUCUGGGUUUUAGUCCGACUACUAGGAUAUAUAAUGCGGUGAUCGAUGCGUUAGUGAAAGCCAAUUCGUUGGACAAGGCUUAUUUGAAGUUCCAGCAGAUGGCUGCUGAUAACUGCAAACCGGAUAGGUUCACUUAUAAUAUACUUGUUCAUGGGGUUUGCCGUGCUGGCGUGAUGGAUGAGGCACGUCGCUUGGUUAAACAAAUGGAGGGGGUCGGUUAUAAGCCUAAUGUGUAUACGUACACGAUACUUAUUGAUGGUUUCUGUAAUGCAAAAAUGGCAGAUGAAGCAUUCAAGGUCAUAGAAACCAUGAGGAAAAGGAAUGUGCCUCCAAAUGAAGCCACUAUCAGAUCAUUGGUUCAUGGAGUGUUUCGAUGCACUGAUGCCGGGAAGGCAUUUGAGUUGUUGUGUAGCUUUGUGGAAAGGGAACCGAGCUUGAUCAAAUUUACUUGCGAUACUUUGCUUUUUUGCCUUUCAAACAAUUCUAUGGCAAGAGAAGCAGCUGGUCUUCUGAGAAAGUUUGGUGAGAGAGGUUAUGUCCCUGAUGGUGUGACUUUUAACAUUGCUAUUGUUUGUUUGGUGAAAGGCUUGGAUCUGAAUGAGGUGCUUGAGCUACUUGAUAGAUUUAACGAAAGAGGUGUGAAGCCAGGGUUCAGUACUUAUUAUGCACUCAUCGAAGCGCUAUACAAGGCUGGAAGAAUUCAGGAUGGCGAUCGGUACUUAAAUUGGAUCUUUGAGGAUGGGCAAGUCUCAAAUGUCUUUUCGUACAAUAUGCUGAUUGAUUGCUUCUGCCGAACCAAAAUGCUGGGCAGGGCACUGGAAACUUUGAGAGAUAUGCAAAAUAUUGGGAUUGCACCUAAUCUUGUGACUCUCAACACCAUCAUUAGUGCACAUUGCAAGGAAGGAGACAUGAGAAAAGCCCAGGAACUGCUGGAGAUGGUUUUUCAGUUUGGUUUUAAACCUGAUGUUGUCACUUUUAGCGCAAUAAUUGAUGGACUUUGUAGACUAAACAAGAUCGAAGAUGCACUUGAUUGUUUUGCAGAAAUGAGGGAGUGGGGCGUCACUCCAAAUGCUAUCACUUACAGCAUAUUGAUCCGAUCCCUGUGUUUUACUGGAGGUGUUGGGAAAUCAUUGAAACUGCUAAGCAAAAUGCAAGCAGAUGGAAUUAGCCCAGACAUUUCUUGUUUCAGUGCACUUAUUCACAGCUGUUGUAAGAUUAACCGUGUUGAGAAGGCUAGGAAGCUCUUCUUUUCAAUGUUGACAUUGGGUUUGACUCCUGAAAAGCAGACCUACAAUGCUUUAAUCAAGGCAUUGCAUGAAUCAGGGCAAUCUGAUGAGGCCAAGGCACUUCUUGCCAUGAAUGGAAAUGGAUGUGCACCUUGAUAGAGUGCAAGCAAUUUUCUAGAGGCCAAAGUCUGAUAAUGACAAUAUAGAGAGGCAAACAAUAUAGAGUAAAGAUAUGGAUAAACAAGAGAUCUUUCUAAAUGUUAUCCCUAUUGUAUAGGGGGAGGUUUUCAAGGAUUGUUAUGACUGGGGUUCAUGAGUAUGUUCUGCAUUGCAAAGCAUGGAGCCUGAAGGCAAUUCGACUAGAUAACAUCUAACGUUCUGUUUUCUUGUGGCAUUUAUUAAUUCAAGAGCUAGAGCUUGAAUCUGGUUGCUUUUUUUUUGGUGGGCAGAAGAAUCCGGAAAAUUGUUCUAACCGUUGGUCCAACUGAUUGUCAUCAGUAAUUUGUCGAAGUCAAGGACUGGACAUUGUGAAUUGGCAUUGUCUUACAAAGGUGAAAAGUGAACUUCAAUCGUGGGAAUGUUGAAUACAGGAAGCCACCCUGAUAUUCUGUACUUAAAGUUGGCUUUAGGGGAUCGGAAGAUCAGUGUUGUCAUACGAAGAUGUGCCAGAAUCAUUCCAUAAGCUUCCUCCUCAGAUUACUCGGUUACUUGGAGGAACUGAGAGCUGUCCCGGUGUGCUUUGCACGGAGGAGCAUGAUAACAAUUUAAAGUUAAUGUGGUUAAUGACCAUGGAUAUUAUACUCCUAACAUUGUGUGUAAUGCGAAUAAAGUUCACCUGUACGCUAUUACCGUUUAGAUUCUUUGAUCAUCUGAAUCUGUGGGCGGAUGCACAGACUGAGUUUCUUGUGAGCAUACUGUACCACAUUUGUUCCUAGACAUGUACCUGGGUUUGAGAAUAGAGCACAUCACACAUUGGGUUUUCGGCAUACGCCUUUUUCUAAUAAUUUAUAUAUCUGUCCUUUGUUU